rnacentral:rRNA from 1 species
AGUGAACGCUGGCGGUAGGCCUAACACAUGCAAGUCGAACGGCAGCACAGUAAGAGCUUGCUCGUACGGGUGGCGAGUGGCGGACGGGUGAGGAAUACAUCGGAAUCUACUUUUUCGUGGGGGAUAACGUAGGGAAACUUACGCUAAUACGGCAUACGACCUACGGGUGAAAGCAGGGGAUCUUCGGACCUUGCGCGAGUGAAUGAGCCGAUGUCGGAUUAGCUAGUUGGCGGGGUAAAGGCCCACCAAGGCGACGAUCCGUAGCUGGUCUGAGAGGAUGAUCAGCCACACUGGAACUGAGACACGGUCCAGCCUCCUACGGGAGGCAGCAGUGGGGAAUAUUGGACAAUGGGCGCAAGCCUGAUCCAGCCAUACCGCGUGGGUGAAGAAGGCCUUCGGGUUGUAAAGCCCUUUUGUUGGGAAAGAAAAGCAGCAGGUUAAUACCCCGCUGUUCUGACGGUACCCAAAGAAUAAGCACCGGCUAACUUCGUG